CACUCCCACCACGCCCCAAAAGAAGGGCAAAGGCAGAGGGGAUCCUGUGAGUCUCUGCAGGGUGGACAUGUUCCCUGGUGGGGAGGGCAGCUGGAGGUCUGAUGCCCCUAGCCUGGACCAAGAACUCGCAGACUGGCCUGGUGGCUUCUGAGCACACACAACUGAGGUCAAUUUUAUGCUCUGGAAUUGAUUUCAAAUUAAAUUUUGUUUCUUUCGACCCA
ensembl:lncRNA novel transcript